CCUACGGGAGUCAGCAGUGAGGAAUAUUGGUCAAUGGGCGGGAGCCUGAACCAGCCAAGCCGCGUGAAGGAAGAAGGCGCCAGGCGUCGUAAACUUCUUUUGUCGGGGAACAAAGGGCGCCACGUGUGGCGUUGUGAGUGUACCCGAAGAAAAAGCAUCGGCUAACUCCGUGCCAGCAGCCGCGGUAAUACGGAGGAUGCGAGCGUUAUCCGGAUUUAUUGGGUGUAAAGGGUGCGUAGGCGGUCCGGAAAGUCAGCGGGAAAAGCCCGGGGCUCAACCCCGGCGAGCCGUGGAAACGGUCGGACUAGAGACGGCGAGAAGUACGCGGAAUGCGCGGUGUAGCGGUGAAAUGCAUAGAUAUCGCGCAGAACUCCGAUUGCGAAGGCAGCGUACCGGCGCCGGACUGACGCUGAGGCACGAAAGCGUGGGUAUCGAACAGGAUUAGAUACCCGGGUAGUC
rnacentral:rRNA from 1 species